AUUGAACGCUGGCGGCAGGCCUAACACAAGCAGGUCGAACGAGUGGCGGACGGGUGAGUAAAGUCUGGGAAACUGCCUGAUGGAGGGGGAUAACUACUGGAAACGGUAGCUAAUACCGCAUACCAUCAGAUGUGCCCAGAUGGGAUUAGCUAGUUGGUGGGGUAACGGCUCACCAAGGCGACGAUCCCUAGCUGGUCUGAGAGGAUGACCAGCCACACUGGAACGGAGAAACGGUCCAGACUCCUACGGGAGGCAGAAGUGGGGAAUAUUGCACAAUUGGCGAAAGCCUGAUGCAGCCAUGCCGCGUGUAUGAAGAAGGCCUUCGGGUUGUAAAGUACUUUCAGCGGGGAGGCGUUACCCGCAGAAGAAGCACCGGCUAGCUCCGUGCCAGCAGCCGCGGUAAUAC
rnacentral:rRNA from 1 species